rnacentral:rRNA from 1 species
UACGGGGGGGGUAAGCGUUGUUCGGAAUUACUGGGCGUAAAGGGCUCGUAGGCGGCCAACUAAGUCAGACGUGAAAUCCCUCAGCUUAACUGGGGAACUGCGUCUGAUACUGGAUGGCUUGGAUUCGGGAGAGGAAUGCGGAAUUCCAGGUGUAGCGGUGAAAUGCGUAGAUAUCGAGAGGAACACCUGCGGCGAAGGCGGGUUGCUGGGCUGACACUGACGCUGAACUGCGAAAGCUAGGGGAGCGAACGGG